rnacentral:antisense_RNA from 1 species
AGGUUCGCGUCAGACAGGUUCGCGUCGAUCAAGUCCG